rnacentral:rRNA from 1 species
UGGUGGAGUGAUUUGUCUGGUUAAUUCCGAUAACGAACGAGACCUUAUCCUGCUAAAUAGGCGGCGCUGUCCUAGUGACAGUGGCUUCCGUCUUCUUAGAGGGACUAUCUGUGACUAACAGAUGGAAGAAAGGCAAUAACA